rnacentral:rRNA from 1 species
UACGAGGGGGGCAAGCGUUGUUCGGAAUUAUUGGGCGUAAAGGGCGCGUAGGCGGUGCGGUAAGUCUGUUGUGAAAUCUCCGGGCUCAACUCGGAGUCUGCAUCAGAAACUGCCGUGCUCGAGUGUGGGAGAGGUGAGUGGAAUUCCGGGUGUAGCGGUGGAAUGCGUAGAGAUCCGGAAGAACACCAGUGGCGAAGGCGGCCCGCUGGGCAGUGGCUGACGCUGAGGCGCGACAGCGUGGGGAGCAAACAGG